ACAGCAGGCCACCUUAUCGCUGCAAGUAUGGAUAACCAUGCUUGAAGAGGAAAGUCCGGACACCACAGUGCGGCAUAGCGGGUAACGCCCGUCCGCCGUAAGGCGAGGACCAGUGCAACAGAAAGCAAGUACAGUUCGGCUGUAGUGAAAUCGGCAAACUCUAUGCGGUGAAACGCCAUGUAAACCAAUGUUUGAGGGCGGCACGUCCGAGUUGGAGGGUAGGCGGUUGGAACACUUGGGCAACCAUGUGUCUAGAUAAAUGAUAAGAGUAUACAGAAUCCGGCUUAUGGCCUGCUUUUAUU
rnacentral:RNase_P_RNA from 1 species